UCUUUCCUUGCCGCCUCUACUGGUCGUUUUCGAUUUGGAGUCCUCUUUGCUGCUACCUCCUAUAAAUACUGGUGGGCGUUCGACUCUCAUCCUGCUCGCUGCUGUCUGCCCUCUUUUUUCUCUGCUCAGUGCUAGCCUCUCUUGGUCCAGCGAUGGUUUCUCCUGGUGCUUCUGCGUCCGGCCGCUGCCGGCGGGGCUGUCCUCCUGGGAUUCGGGCUGCUGUCAUUGCUCGCGUUCGCCGUGUUGCCGACCGUCUUUCCUCGCCGGAUUCUCCGUUAGCGACGUCAGAUGCUGGUGCGCGUGGCCGGCCGGCUAAUUCAGGCUGCCGUGUCCGGUCCGGGGCUCGCCGGCCGUUUCGUUCUUCCCGGGCUGAUUCGCGGCGAGAUGUUAAUGUGGACGUUGAUAGUCGUCGUCGGAAGAUUUCAUUAGGGAAGCGGCCUGUGGAUUGUACUAUUGGUGUGCUCUCGAUUCUUGCUGCAUGUAUGGGAGUGCCUCUGCUGCCGUUAGCGCGGGCUCUUCUUUAGCGGUCGGUGGGUCUGUCCCGGCUGUUUGGCCUGCCAGCGUGCGACCUGGAUGUUUUCUUCUUUCUUUGAUGCUUAGCUCACUUAUUUUAUGCCUUUGGUGUUGUUCUAUCUAGCCGUUUGGUGUUGUGCUUAUUGGUAGGAUUCUAAUGUGGUCCAUCUAUUGGUUGCUUGCAGGUAUUUUGCCUGUCGAAGUGAUUGACAGCACGAGUGCUUCUGUUUCUGGUUUUCCUGCUGGUGUUCAUCUUUAUGGCUCUUUGGUUGGUGAUACGACUUUGCGUUGCCGUCUUAGAGUGGUGCCUUUAUGUGCCGCUGGUACCUUUGGUCGGCCUACUCCUCUUGGUAAGUCCAAUUCUCUAAAUAUGCGUGUACUUCUUUUGGGUUUUGUGGUGUUUUUCUAGGAUUGGUUCUAAUUUGUGUACGUGUUUGCCAUUUGAGUGAUGCCUACUCAUGUUAUGGAGCACUCUCGUGUUGUGUGUGCUCGCCGUAAGCGGAUUUUGGUGCGAUCGUACUGGUCGGGCCGGAAAAGAGUAUGUGGGAUGCAACCUUCCUUUUCUAAAGAUUACAUCCAACUGCUUAAGGCUACUUUUAGGGGGCGUUCAUAUUAUGGUGGACCGGAUUUGUGCUGCCAGAAAUGUGGGGCUUUUUUUGGUUCCGUGAAGGAUCUGUUUAUCAUGCUGACGCUACUUCUCGCUCUCCUGUCUACACGGGUUGUUGUCGAGCGGGCAGGAUUUCGUUGCCAAAGUUUGCUGACUGGCCCUCUCCUUUGGAUAGAUUGAUGUGUUUUGAUGGUGAUGCGGGUUCCUCUCGUUUCAUGCGGUUAAUACGUCAAUAUAAUUCUAUGUUCUGUUUUACAUCGUUGGGUGCACAAGUUGACCAUAGUAUCAAUGUUGGAGGUGCUCCAUACGUUUUCAAGAUGAAUGGGGUGGUUUACCAUCGUAUUGGUUCGUUGUUGCCGGCUGGCGGUGCACCACCAAAGUUUGCGCAACUGUAUAUGGUGGAUUCUGCUGACGAGUUGGACUGUAGGUUGAAUGUGUUUGACAGAGAAGAAACUAGCUCACUUGAGCCCGAUCCUGAAAUUGUUUCUUCAUUGAUAGACAUGCUUAAUAUGCAUCACCGUCUGGUGCACAAAUUUAGAAUUGCACGACAGAGUCUGUGUACUCCUGGUGUUUCUGAUGUCUCAAUUCGUUUCUUGAGCAGCGAUGGCGGUGCUCAUGGUACGCGUUUCUCCGGUCCUACCACUUCUGAAGUGGCUGCGCUUAUAGUUGGUGAUCUCAUGGAUAGUGCAAGCAUCCAGCCCUGAAUUUUAAUCAUGGAAAUGGAAAUAGUUCGCAGGAAAAUCUUAUGAUUUAUAUCUCAAGACGGCCAAUGCUUGAAAAGUUAGUGAAACAAUUGGGUUGAAAGUACAAGGCUAUACAUAUUGGUACGUCCAUCAAGGUAUGAUGCAAGCAUCUGUACUAAUUGGCCUACCACGCGAAGAAGAUAGUUUUAGAGAAUCUUCCAUCACAUAUGAAGGGGAGGCAGCUAAUACAGAAGAUGAAGCAAUGGAGAAAGCAGCUCAAGUGGCCUUAGAAUGUAUUUGUGCAGACUAUAAUAUUUCUGUCAAUGAUCACAAUUACUAUGCCCUUGAAGUCACAAAAGAAAGAUUGCUUACAACAAGAGAGAAAGCUCAAACAAAACAAUGGCAGUUCAACAUGGCGCGCCAGCAAGUAACUACGCAGCAGAAUGAAUUUGCAAGACAAACAAUGAUUCUGGCAAAGAUAUGCAAUAGCUUUUUUGAUAUACUGCCACUUCGUAUGUACCCCCAGCGUCCAGAAAGCAGUGAUCCCAUUAUUACAUACACGGGCGCACACCCUCCCGUCGGACGUAUGGAAGAACUUGCAAAAUCACUUUAUCACUUUAUCACAGGCACCAAUCCUGCAGGAGGCUACACCAGAAUGAUCUAAUUUACUAUCAACUACUUCUAGCUUAUCUACGUAAUAUGUUUGUGUUUCUAUAUACAGUUCUCUGUCUACAGCGAGUUGUAUGUAGUUUAAAUAAUUUGUUUGCCUCAAGUGUGUACCACUUUUAAUUUGCAGCUUUGUAACCCUGCAUGAUGGAGUCAUGUACCUAGGGUAGGGUCACAGACCUGAUCUAAGUACCCUGCCCAAGGAC